ensembl:lncRNA
GGAUGGAGGAACUCGGUCCGACACAACCUUUCCUUAAGCAAGAGCUUCCAACGAAUACAUCGAGACAAGAGUCAAUCUGUUGGAAAGGGCUCAUUAUGGCGUGUUUGUCCAGAAUAUCGGCCAGCUCUUCUGGAAGUUCUUAGAAAAACUCAUUAUUGUCAUCGUACCAACAGUAACUUGCUGAACAAGCAUGUUUUGUGAGUUUGAUUUGCUUUCUUACGAUACAAACCGUCUUCGUAAGGCUUAAUAUUGAAUUGUAUUAUGCACAACGGCAGAGGAACAAAUUACUCGUUCACUGGGAUACUGAUACAUGCAUAUCUGACCUUCGUUCUGGACAGGUUGGAGGCGGCUGAUAAUGGUCAGAACACUUUGGGUGAGACCAUGGAAAUUUCAGAUCUAGAUUCUCUGUCUUCAAACCCGCCGUGCUCUUUGACACCAGAUCACGAGGAGCUGGUCCCCAUGGAGUCUGUGGAACUGACAGAGGUUGUUGGCGAGGAUUCAGAGAAAGAUCCACUGGCAGACAGCGGUUACAUUGAGUUACACUAUUACCAGUAUCAGCAGUAUCAGUACCUGGUUCUUCCUGGAGACACUGAGUUGGACCUGGAGUCGGUUGAGAUACUGCAGCUUGAUGCAGAGGCUCAGGAGGCUGCAGGGUCACUGCUUGACCUCGCGGGAGGCAACCACUGAGAGCUUACCUAUGUGCUGUGUACAAGCAAGGAGAGUUAAUGGGGAGAUGGGGCCACUGUGAGAACUCUAGGCUUGAUGUACUAUUGGCACUUUAUUACUGCCUGAACUUUUACUUACUGUCAUGAAUGGUGCAACAUAAGCAAUUUCAAAUAAUCUAGUGAUUUAAAUAAAACAUUUGUAGGGACUGACA